GAUGAACGCUGGCGGCGUGCUUAACACAUGCAAGUCGAACGGAAAGGCUCCUGCUUGCAGGGGUACUCGAGUGGCGAACGGGUGAGUAACACGUGGGUGAUCUGCCCUGCACUUCGGGAUAAGCCUGGGAAACUGGGUCUAAUACCGGAUAGGACCACAUUUUGGAUGGUGUGGUGGAAAGUUUUUCGGUGUGGGAUGAGCUCGCGGCCUAUCAGCUUGUUGGUGGGGUAAUGGCCUACCAAGGCGUCGACGGGUAGCCGGCCUGAGAGGGUGUACGGCCAAAGUGGGACGGAGGGACGGCCCAGGCGCCUAGGGGGGGCAGAAGGGGGGAAGUUUGACCAAGGGGCGCAGGCUGGAUGCAGCGGCGCCGGGGGGGGGAUGACGCCUUUGGGGGGGAAAACCCCCUUCGCGGGGGACAAAGGGUUUUUUGGCGGGUACCUGGGGAAGAGGCACGGGUAACUUCGGG
rnacentral:rRNA from 1 species